rnacentral:lncRNA from 1 species
GGAAUAAGAAGGUGACGGGGAAACAGGUGGUUUAGAGAGGCACGGAGAAGGGCGAGAAGGAAGAAGCUUUUCUGGGCUCAUCUCUUGCUGGUGCUCUGAGUCUGAGCAGGGCUCUACCGAUGGGAAGGAAAAGGACACCCAAGCUUCCCAAACGCAGGGGGUUUUGUUAAUUACAUGAUAACAUUUUCACUCUAAAUAAUAACAACGUUCACUAUCUCAGAAAUGUACAAUGUACAAAGUAAAUUCCUUUCACCCGCUCUUGCAAGCUACUAGUCCUUUCCUCAAAGCAUCGUCAGACCUUUUCCAACGUAUUUACAGACUUACACAUAAAUAAUCCGGCUCUGUGACGCUUUCUACAUAGAUGGGAUCUUACUAUACUUAUCCAUUUCGCAACUUGCUUUUUCUGCUUCACUGAUUUCAACUGCUUUCCCAGAAACGCAAACCGAGAGCUCCCCCGCCCCAAUUCCAACGGUCUGUUGGCGCGUCCCUCGGACCGCGGCUCCUCCCGAGCGGCUGGAGGCUGGGAGCGUGUCCACAGCCCAGCUCGCGCCCCAGCGCCCGCGCGCCCGCCCCACCCGCCCGGCGCGCGCGCUCCUUACGGGACAGGAGGGACGGUUGGUGUUUGUGCCAACCGUCCGGGGGCACGAGCCACGCCCGGUUACCAACAUGACAUGCAGCAAUGGGAAGAGAAGAGCAAAUCGGCUCAUGGAGCACUGCAGAUCAGCUCCAGCCCACCACUGGGGGGUUUCCUCUUAACACUAUACCUACUCUCCACAGGGAAUUGA